CCUACGGGGGGCGGCAGUGGGGAAUAUUGGACAAUGGGGGCAACCCUGAUCCAGCCAUGCCGCGUGUGUGAAGAAGGCCCUCGGGUUGUAAAGCACUUUCAGUGAGGAAGAACGCCUGGUGGUUAAUACCCAUCAGGAAAGACAUCACUCACAGAAGAAGCACCGGCUAACUCCGUGCCAGCAGCCGCGGUAAUACGGAGGGUGCGAGCGUUAAUCGGAAUUACUGGGCGUAAAGCGCGCGUAGGUGGCUUGAUAAGCCGGUUGUGAAAGCCCCGGGCUCAACCUGGGAACGGCAUCCGGAACUGUCAAGCUAGAGUGCAGGAGAGGAAGGUAGAAUUCCCGGUGUAGCGGUGAAAUGCGUAGAGAUCGGGAGGAAUACCAGUGGCGAAGGCGGCCUUCUGGACUGACACUGACACUGAGGUGCGAAAGCGUGGGUAGCAAACAGGAUUAGAUACCCUAGUAGUC
rnacentral:rRNA from 1 species